AUUUUGAGGGAGUGCAAGAGCAGGUGAUACUAUUUCAGCUUUUGAUGUACAUGUGCUAACAAUGGCACUCUUUAGAUAGUAAGAUAGAGCAUGUGUUUUGUUUAUCUUAUUUGCUACUCAUUUUUGUACCUCAUCUCAAUGUGUUUUAUUGGGCUUUCUGGUUGUUUUUCAUUGUCAGCAAUGAAGUAGGCCAUUUUCAAAAUCUUGUGAAGGAAGUAUAAAAUUGUUAUAUGAAAAUUAAGGUUGGGAGAGGAAAUAUUAUGCAACAUAAACAGGGAAUUUGACAUAAA
rnacentral:misc_RNA from 1 species